CCAGCUGCCAAGAGUCCCAGUCACCAGGCCACCCUGAGUCCCGGCCCUUGAAGGUCCACGAGACUGGGGCAGCAGCAGGGGCAGGUACAGAGCACCUCAGCCGCCUCCCCACCUGACAGCAACAUCAAAGCCGAGGCCAAGGCAGGAGGGCCAGAGUGAGACACCUCUUCCAGACAAGCCUUGGUCGCUGCCUCCUCCUCUGUCACCCUGUGACACAGCCCAGAGUACCAGGCGGCUGGAGCACUGGGGGACACCCGGACAGAACCCUCCCUGGACCAAGUCCUGGUCCAGGAACGGGAUGAAGCCAUUGCCAAGAAGCAGGCAGUGGAGGCGGAGCUGCAGAGGUGCAAAGCCAGGCUACACGCCGUGGAGGCCCAGCUGCUGGAGGUCCUGGAGGAGAAACUGAGGCUGAGGCGGGAGCUGGAGGCCUGGGAGGAGGACGUGCAGCAGCUGGUGUGGCAGCAGGUCCAGAAUCAGCUGCAGAGAGAGGCCAAGGGUAUUCAGGGAGCCCAUGUGGACCCUGGAGCUGCCAGGACCCCCGGGUCCAGAUUCUCCCUGGGUUGGGGACGUUGGUGGUGACACAGACCUCAGCCCAGGACUUUGGGAGUAGUGUCUUUAUUCAUUAAAGCCUGAGGUCUGACCACCCCUGUAAAACUUCGUGCCC
rnacentral:sRNA from 1 species